AUGAACGCUGGCGGCGUGCCUAAUACAUGCAAGUCGAGCGAACAGACGAGGAGCUUGCUCCUCUGACGUUAGCGGCGGACGGGUGAGUAACACGUGGAUAACCUACCUAUAAGACUGGGAUAACUUCGGGAAACCGGAGCUAAUACCGGAUAAUAUAUUGAACCGCAUGGUUCAAUAGUGAAAGACGGUUUUGCUGUCACUUAUAGAUGGAUCCGCGCCGCAUUAGCUAGUUGGUAAGGUAACGGCUUACCAAGGCAACGAUGCGUAGCCGACCUGAGAGGGUGAUCGGCCACACUGGAACUGAGACACGGUCCAGACUCCUACGGGAGGCAGCAGUAGGGAAUCUUACGCAAUGGGCGAAAGCUUGACGGAGCAACGCCGCGUGAGUGAUGAAGGUCUUCGGAUCGUAAAACUCUGUUAUUAGGGAAGAACAAAUGUGUAAGUAACUAUGCACGUCUUGACGGUACCUAAUCAGAAAGCCACGGCUAACUACGUGC
rnacentral:rRNA from 1 species